UCCUCUGUAGCACAAUUGGUAGUUGCACCUGACUGUUAAUCAGGAUGUUGCAGGUUCGAGCCCUGCCGGAGGAG
rnacentral:tRNA from 1 species